GACCUCUGCUCCAUAAAUGAAGACCACAGGCAGUUGAAGGCAGGCUGGAGGAAGACUUCAUGACAAGCCUGCCAUUAUGCAAGCCUUUUGUCUUUCUCUUUAUUUUCAAGGUUUCAGAGGGCAUGGAUUGAAAGGUCAUUUCUAAAAAGGGAGUGCAUUCACAUAUUCCCCAGCAAAGAGCCCAGCAAGUGUUGUUGCGGUCAGCUGGUAAACCAACAUGUGGCUAUUCUUCUUGGCUCCACCAAUAAGAGCGCAGAGGAAGGCCAGGGGGUGCAGACCGAGCCUCCACAAGAGAAAUGGUCGGUUGCUAAGCACACACAAGCCACGCCCACUGACGCAUACGGCAUCAUUGAAUUCCAGGGAGGAGGUCAUGUCAACAAGGCCAUGGUAUUUUUCAGAGAACCAUGUGAUUCAUUUGUUUUUCAUUGCACAAAA